rnacentral:lncRNA from 1 species
AGGGGGUCCCAGCUGGGGCAGAGAGCGGGUCCCUUCCAGGGCUGGGGGGCCAGGAACCCCCUCGCUCUGACCCCACUCCUUCCUCCUCACAGGGUCUUUGAGUCCCUGAAGCAGGCCCGGGAAUCUGGCACCGAUGUGGACAGCCAUGGGAGCUACGUGAACAUCAACUCCGAGGAGGACUAUGUGAAUCUGCAGGGUGCCAAUGGGGG